GACAUGUGACUGCAAGCCGGUGAAAGCCGGUCGCCUUCGAGGGUGUCACACAGAUGCUGCAUGGCUGUCGUCAGCUCGUGUCGUGAGAUGUUGGGUUAAGUCCCCGCAACGAGCGCAACCCCUACGGUCAGUUACUUGUGUCUGGCCGGACUGCCGUUUUACGGAGGAAGGCGGGGAUGACGUCAAGUCCGCAUGGCUCUUACGCCUGGGGCGACACACACGCUACAAUGCCAUCGACAGUGCGCAGCGACCGCGCGAGCGGGAGCAAAUCGCCAAACGAUGGCCCAGUGCAGAUUGGGGGCUGCAACUCGCCCCCAUGAAGGCGGAGUUGCUAGUAACCGCGUAUCAGCCAUGGCGCGGUGAAUACGUACCCGGGCCUUGUACACACCGCCCGUCACGUCAUGGGAGUUGUCAAUGCUUGAAGUCCGUGCGCCAACCGCAAGGAAGCAGCGGCCGAGGGGCAGGGGC
rnacentral:rRNA from 1 species